GAGGAAUAUUGGUCAAUGGGCGAGAGCCUGAACCAGCCAAGUCGCGUGAAGGAUGACUGUCUUAUGGAUUGUAAACUUCUUUUGUAGGGGAAUAAAGAACAGUACGUGUGCUGUAGUGAAUGUACCCUACGAAUAAGCAUCGGCUAACUCCGUGCCAGCAGCCGCGGUAAUACGGAGGAUGCGAGCGUUAUCCGGAUUUAUUGGGUUUAAAGGGUGCGUAGGCGGCCUGUUAAGUCAGCGGUGAAAUCUAGGAGCUUAACUCCUAAAUUGCCGUUGAUACUGGCGGGCUUGAGUGUAGAUGAGGUAGGCGGAAUGCGUGGUGUAGCGGUGGAAUGCAUAGAUAUCACGCAGAACUCCAAUUGCGAAGGCAGCUUACUAAGGUACAACUGACGCUGAAGCACGAAAGCGUGGGUAUCAAACAGGAUUAGAUACCCUGGUAGUCCACGCAGUAAACGAUGAUAACUGGGCGUAUGCGAUAUACAGUAUGCUCCUAAGCGAAAGCGUUAAGUUAUCCACCUGGGGAGUACGCCGGCAACGGUG
rnacentral:rRNA from 1 species